rnacentral:rRNA from 1 species
AUGCGGCAGCAGCUGCUUGUGGCUGAUGUCCGCCAGCCCAGACGACGGCAACGCGCCUGGGUCGAAUUGGUCGGAGGUCUCCUCCCCUUCCUGAGCUGGCAGGAAUGGCCGGAAUCAAGAUCGGACUAUGGUGGCGGUGGCAAGGAAGGAAGUGACAGCACCGCCCUGGCCCACCUUCGACCAACCCAACCCACCCACCACCAUUCCCAUUCCUCAAAAAAAAAUUCCUCCAAAAAAAAACCCACCACCAUUCCCUCCUCCCUGCUCUGUCCCGACCACGGUGGCGACGGCGAGGAGACGCCCAACGGCGCCUCGUCUUCCAGUCCUGCUGUUCUGCUCCCCGCUGUCGGCAUGGUCGCCCGCCUGCCCUCUCCUCCAUCCGCUGGGACUGGAACUGGAAGCAAGCGCCACCAACAAGGAGGUCAGCUCUCACCGCUCUGCCCGCGCCCUGCAGAUCAGGUGGGAGCAAUGUGUAGAUGGACAUACACAUCUUUGGCUCAAGCAUAUCGCUGGCCCGCCUGGCCUGAGCUUGAUCACUUCUUCAGGGGCACCACAACUGAGGCUCCUUCAGUUCAGUGGCACUAUUCAGUUGAUGAUUUGUACCUGCUGAUCACCAAUACAAAUUGGGAGACAUCAUAUAGCAUAGCAAGUAAAGAUCCGUUUGAGGACGAAACACUCACUAACUCGCCCUCUCUCUGCCGCUUGCUCUCUUCUCCCUGCCUUCGCCCCCUGCUGCUUUGCUUCAUCUCCUCCCCCUUGCCUGCAUCUCCGUCGCCGAGAGACUCUCGGCGACGGCAGCACCUGGAUCUGGACCGCCGCACAUCACAAGGUAUCAAGGUUGCAUCUUAUGAUUGUCUUAGUUUACGUCUCCCUAGUGUUGGAUCAAUGGAGAUUCAGCCAACCACCUGUCACUUGUCUAUAAGCACAGAUGACUUAGGGAAAUAUGAUGAAGUGUCUGGUGAAAAAUUAAAGAGUGAAUUGGAAGAACUGAAGACAAGAUUUAAGGUUGAACAUUUACAUACAUUGAUGUUAUUUGGAAAAUUGGAUGAAGGUUUUGUCAAGAUAUUUGGUGAUUUUUUUGGGAAAGUGAAUGUUCUUCAUGUUCUUCGUUUGCCCAGCAUGCUUUGUUCAGUGGAGUCAAUGUUACAUAACUUUUCAGGACUAGUCCACCUACGAUACCUAUGUUUAGGGACAGAUGAGAGUCAGAUGCAUUUACCACUUAGCAUCUCAAAAUUUUAUCAUUUAAGAAUUUUAGAUCUUCGAUUGUGGGGUGGCAGUCAUGAUUUGCCCGAAAACAUGAGCAACCUUGCCAAAUUAUGCCAUUUUUAUGUCCCAUAUAAUGGGCUUCAUUCUGAUAUUUAUUGUGUGGGAAAACUUAAACUCUUAGAAGAGUUAAAGGUAUUUGAAGUUAACAAAAAAAGCGAAGGGUUUGAACCACAGCAACUAGAGCACUUGACAAAGCUAAGGGAGCUUGGCAUCUACAACCUUGAGAAGAUAGAUACUGUAGAAGAAGCAGGUCAAGCAAAACUGAUGGAGAAAAAAUAUUUGAGGAAGUUAACAUUGGAAUGGGAUAGUGGGCGGACAAGUGUUGAGCCUGGUGUGGAAGCAGUGGUUCUUGAGAGACUUCAACCACAUGGAGAUAUUCAAGUGUUGUGCAUUAGAGGGCACGGAGGCCCUUCUUGUCCAACAUGGCUGGGUGAUGACUUCACUGUUGAGGCUCUACAAUUUCUUUAUCUUGAUGGUGUUUCUUGGGAUGUUUUCCCUUCUUUAGGGAAGGCGUGGGAUCUUCGUGAACUGAGGUUGGAGGACAUUACUGGACCGAAGGAGUUUAUUAUAGAGGAGAGCUUUUGCAUGCUAAUAAAGCUUGAACUCAUUAGCCUAGGAAGUUUUCGAAAAUGGCUUUACCCAGCCAAAGAAGGCUCUUCCCUGGGUGGAGACUUGUUGCCACUGGAUACUCAUAUGUUCCCUCUUUUGCAAGUGCUGAUUAUUAGAGAUUGCUCAAAACUCUUGGGGUUUCCUUUCUCAAACCACAUUGUUUCCCCAGAUUGGUUUCCGAAACUACAAGAGCUUGAGGUACUAUACUGUCCAGAAUUCUCGUCAGUGAUUCCCAUCUCCUGGAUUGAAAGUUUGUGUUCUGUCACGAUGAAAUCUGUAAAGCAACUAGAGAAGUUUGCAUACUCAAAAUCAUCUGAUGGAGCAGAAUUGGAAAUUAUUGGAAAGGGUGAUCUGCGUAGCUUAGACCAAGUGUUAGUUUUUGAUAAAGACACAGGUCUUGGGGAACUGACACUGGAGAUGUGCCCACCUCUGGAGUUGAAGCACCUUCUGAUGCUAACGUCACUGAAGAAAUUGAUUGUAAAAAGCUCAGAUGAUCUGGUUGGACUACUAGGAGGCCAGGGUGAUGUGGAAAGGCAGCUCCCACUUUGGUUUCCCAAACUACAAAAGCUUGAGAUAUGGGACUGUCCAGAAUUCUCGUCAGUGAUUCCCAUCUCUUGGAUUGAACGUCUACGCUGUGUCACGAUACGAUGUGCAAAGAUGCUAAAGGAGUUUACGUACUCAAAAUCAUCCAAUGGAGCAGAAGUGGAAAUUAUUGGAGAGAGUGAUUUGCAUAGCAUAGACCAAGUGUUAAUUUUUGAUAAAGAAACAUGUCUUGAGAAGCUCACACUCAACAGGUGCCCACGUCUGGAGUUGAAGCACCUUCUGAUGCUAACCUCCUUGAAGACAUUGUUUGUAUUUCAUUCAGAUGCUCUGGUUGGGCCACUAGGAGGUCAGGGUGAUGUGGAAUGGCAGCUCCCUAUUGAGCAUAUGCGGAUCUGGGACUUAAAUGGUAAUAGUGGGGAGGAAUUGACAGAUCUCCUCCCCCACCUCCCAAAGCUCUCCAAAUUGGAAAUAGAUGAGUCUGGAACUUUAUGGGUGGGACUACAAAGGGAUGAAGCGCUUCAGCAGGGAGCAAGAGAACGCCCUUCUGCUCCUCCUCCCUGCAGGGCUGCGCAACUUUACCGGCCUCAAGGAAUUAUCAAUCAACCACUGUCCAAGCAUCUCGUCAUUACCCAACGAUGGCCUCCCCAAAUUACUGCAAGAGCUAAAUGUCAGAUGGUGCUCCAACCAGGAGCUAAAACAGCAGUGGAGGGGGUUAAUGGGAACCAUCCCCAAAGUCAUGAUAGACUUCUGAUCCAAGUACCAGGUGUUCUUGCAUUUCUAGUUUCUGUUGGCUUGCUGUUCAGUGUUAGGGACCAAUGGAUCAUCUGGCAUAAUUUUGGAAAACAACGGAUUGUCAGUGUUUUGCUGCUGAUCAUGUUUGAAGUUUUGCCAUCCAGGAUCUUCAGAAGAAUAUCAGUGCAUAUGAAUCUCCUCGGAAGAAAAAGAUUGAGUUCGGGGAAAGUGUGCCAAAUCCAUCUUAAGCGCAUGCUGGUCGCUGUGGAGUUGCUGCAGCCAUUGCCAAUAGCAUCCCCCAAAGCGCAUUGUCAAGCUGUUGUUGCAUAUGAUAUUUUCGAAGGUAUCCCCGUGUUUGCUGCUGCAUUGUGCAAGAAAAGGAUCAAGGCCAUAAUGGCAAACAAGAAAGAUUACCAUUUCCUUAAUGUGCAGAUGACAGCCUUUCAUCACGAAAAACUGACACUGCAAAGGUGUGAGUAAUUGGUGAAGGUUUUGUACUCACGGUUCUCGCCAAGAACUGCAACUCCAGCAGAACGUUUAUUCAUGUGAGAAUUGGAGUGCUGCCAAGGAAUUGAAUUGCGAGUCUACGGAAUAAGAAUGCUAAUGAAGAAGAAGCCUUUCCUAGAAACAACCAGACUGCAUCUUCUGAAGAAAUCGACACUUCUCAUGUUAUCUGAAGAAAUCGACACCCAACGGUUAUCUUCAAUCAAAUCUAACAGCAACGUACCACCACUUUCCACGGAGUUCCGACACACUGCCACACCCUUGAUCGUGCAUCCAACGGCUCUGAAGACUAGAGCUGCCACUAUUUGAAUUACUUUUACUGUCUCCUUGUUCAGCAGCUUUUACAUUAUUAGCAUUAUAAAAGCUACCUUUCACUAGCUCAAAAAAGAAGUUACCUUUCACUGGUUGUAACGGGUACAAAACGCCAGAUCGAUCUGAUAGCCCUGGAGCUCAACUUCCUGUACUUGGGGUAAAUCCCAGCCGCCAUGUCCUGGCUGGCGUGAACGUGUAUCCUUAAUUCACUAUAUAUUCUCUGUCACGGCCAUCCUCUGAAUUCACCUGGCUGCUAGGUGUGAUCUGAGAGUAAUUUAGUUUUGUCAACUAGUUGGGUCUUGUCACUCCUUUGCUGCUACUUGUUCCUCUCAGGAGAAGAAUGCUGCUGAUCUCAUCUGGCUUGCUUGAAGCCAUGACCUUCAGUUGUGUUCUGGAAAUCCUGUAGAUCAUCGCCAAAUUAGGGCCCAAGAUAUCAUCAUCACCAUAGGAGAGGAGAGGAGUACCAUUUUACUGCAUUUUGUGCAUCGAGCGGCUCAAGAUGCUCGUCAAAUAUAUGAGCUUCUUUUCUUCUCCAUGAACUGCAUGGUCUUGUGCUUCAGAACUGGUAGCAGCU